rnacentral:rRNA from 1 species
UACGAAGGGGGGUAGCGUUGUUCGGAAUCACUGGGCGUAAAGCGCACGCAGGCGGAUCGGUAAGUCGGGGGUGAAAGCCCGGGGCUCAACCUCGGAACUGCCUUCGAUACUGUCGGUCUCGAGUCCGGGAGAGGUGAGUGGAAUUCCUAGUGUAGAGGUGAAAUUCGUAGAUAUUAGGAAGAACACCAGUGGCGAAGGCGGCUCACUGGCCCGGUACUGACGCUCAGGUGCGAAAGCGUGGGGAGCAAACAGG